GAUGAACGCUGGCGGCGUGCCUAAUACAUGCAAGUCGAGCGAACAGACGAGGAGCUUGCUCCUCUGCCGUUAGCGGCGGACGGGUGAGUAACACGUGGAUAACCUACCUAUAAGACUGGGAUAACUUCGGGAAACCGGAGCCAAUACCGGAUAAUAUAUUGAACCGCAUGGUUCAAUAGUGAAAGACGGUUUUGCUGUCACUAAUAGAUGGAUCCGCGCCGCAUUAGCUAGUUGGUAAGGUAACGGCUUACCAAGGCAACGAUGCGUAGCCGACCUGAGAGGGUGAUCGGCCACACUGGAACUGAGACACGGUCCAGACUCCUACGGGAGGCAGCAGUAGGGAAUCUUCGGCAAUGGGCGAAAGCUUGACGGAGCAACGCCGCGUGAGUGAUGAAGGUCUUCGGAUCGUAAAACUCUGUUAUUAGGGAAGAACAAAAGUGUAAGAAAAUAUGCACGUCUUGACGGUACCUAAUGAGAAAGCCACGGCUAACUACGUG
rnacentral:rRNA from 1 species